GAGAGACUGACAGAACAUGUGGUGUGUGCUGUAGGAGCUACUCGUCAUACUGGAAAUCUCAAACACUGGAGGCCAAACACAGCAUGACUGCACAGCGGCUAGUCACUCAGCAGCUCACAACAACUGUGGGACAGGACAGAGCGCUCAAAACUUCACACAAGUCCAUGUGAGGAGUGUUACAGAGGAACAAAACGGCAAACUAAGCAAUUUUCUGAAGACUGCAACACUGGAUUAUUUCCCAAAC
rnacentral:lncRNA from 1 species